rnacentral:rRNA from 1 species
AGCUCCAAUAGCGUAUAUUAAAGUUGUUGUGGUUAAAAAGCUCGUAGUUGGAUUUCGGCGGGCAUUGGUUGGUUUGAAUUGUUUCAACACUGACUAUUUUGCCCGUGUGUUUUGCCAGAAUUUAACGGGUGCUCUUCGCCGAGUGUCUGUUAGAGCUGGCAGGUUUACUUUGAAAAAAUUAGAGUGCUCAAAGCAAGCUUAAUCGCUUGAAUAUUCGUGCAUGGAAUAAUAGAAUAGGAAGUCGUUUCUAUUUUGUUGGUUUUCGGAAAUCGACUUAAUGAUUAAUAGGGACAGUCGGGGGCAUUUGUAUUCAAACGACAGAGGUGAAAUUCUUGGACCGUUUGAAGACAAACUACUGCGAAAGCAUUUGCCAAGAAUGUUUUCAUUAAUCAAGAACGAA